UCGUCUUACAGCGUCGAUUUGUUUCGGCUUGCGGACGCUAUAUAAAAUCAGCUAAACAGAAGCAGCAGAAUGCCUG
rnacentral:ncRNA from 2 species